AGAGUUUGAUUCUGGCUCAGGAUGAACGCUGGCGGCGUGCUUAACACAUGCAAGUCGAACGAAGCAUUUAAGACAGAUUACUUCGGUUUGAAGUCUUUUAUGACUGAGUGGCGGACGGGUGAGUAACGCGUGGGUAACCUGCCUCAUACAGGGGGAUAGCAGCUGGAAACGGCUGGUAAUACCGCAUAAGCGCACGGUAUCGCAUGAUACAGUGUGAAAAACUCCGGUGGUAUGAGAUGGACCCGCGUCUGAUUAGCUGGUUGGUGAGGUAACGGCCCACCAAGGCGACGAUCAGUAGCCGACCUGAGAGGGUGACCGGCCACAUUGGGACUGAGACACGGCCCAG
rnacentral:rRNA from 1 species